rnacentral:rRNA from 1 species
GAUGAACGCUAGCUACAGGCUUAACACAUGCAAGUCGAGGGGCAGCAUGGUCUUAGCUUGCUAAGGCCGAUGGCGACCGGCGCACGGGUGAGUAACACGUACCCAACCUGCCGUCUACUCUUGGACAGCCUUCUGAAAGGAAGAUUAAUACAAGAUGGCAUCAUGAGUCCACAUGUUCACAUGAUUAAAGGUAUUCCGGUAGACGAUGGGGAUGCGUUCCAUUAGAUAGUAGGCGGGGUAACGGCCCACCUAGUCUUCGAUGGAUAGGGGUUCUGAGAGGAAGGUCCCCCACAUUGGAACUGAGACACGGUCCAAACUCCUACGGGAGGCAGCAGUGAGGAAUAUUGGUCAAUGGGCGAGAGCCUGAACCAGCCAAGUAGCGUGAAGGAUGACUGCCCUAUGGGUUGUAAACUUCUUUUAUAAAGGAAUAAAGUCGGGUAUGGAUACCCGUUUGCAUGUACUUUAUGAAUAAGGAUCGGCUAACUCCGUGCCAGCAGCCGCGGUAAUACGGAGGAUCCGAGCGUUAUCCGGAUUUAUUGGGUUUAAAGGGAGCGUAGAUGGAUGUUUAAGUCAGUUGUGAAAGUUUGCGGCUCAACCGUAAAAUUGCAGUUGAUACUGGAUAUCUUGAGUGCAGUUGAGGCAGGCGGAAUUCGUGGUGUAGCGGUGAAAUGCUUAGUUAUCACGAAGAACUCCGAUUGCGAAGGCAGCCUGCUAAGCUGCAACUGACAUUGAGGCUCGAAAGUGUGGGUAUCAAACAGGAUUAGAUACCCUGGUAGUCCACACGGUAAACGAUGAAUACUCGCUGUUUGCGAUAUACAGCAAGCGGCCAAGCGAAAGCGUUAAGUAUUCCACCUGGGGAGUACGCCGGCAACGGUGAAACUCAAAGGAAUUGACGGGGGCCCGCACAAGCGGAGGAACAUGUGGUUUAAUUCGAUGAUACGCGAGGAACCUUACCCGGGCUUAAAUUGCAGAUGAAUUACGGUGAAAGCCGUAAGCCGCAAGGCAUCUGUGAAGGUGCUGCAUGGUUGUCGUCAGCUCGUGCCGUGAGGUGUCGGCUUAAGUGCCAUAACGAGCGCAACCCUUGUUGUCAGUUACUAACAGGUUCCGCUGAGGACUCUGACAAGACUGCCAUCGUAAGAUGUGAGGAAGGUGGGGAUGACGUCAAAUCAGCACGGCCCUUACGUCCGGGGCUACACACGUGUUACAAUGGGGGGUACAGAGGGCCGCUACCACGCGAGUGGAUGCCAAUCCCAAAAACCUCUCUCAGUUCGGACUGGAGUCUGCAACCCGACUCCACGAAGCUGGAUUCGCUAGUAAUCGCGCAUCAGCCACGGCGCGGUGAAUACGUUCCCGGGCCU